UACGUAGGGUGCGAGCGUUGUCCGGAAUUACUGGGCGUAAAGAGCUCGUAGGUGGUUUGUCGCGUUGUCCGUGAAAACUCACAACUCAAUUGUGGGCGUGCGGGCGAUACGGGCAGACUGGAGUACUGCAGGGGAGACUGGAAUUCCUGGUGUAGCGGUGGAAUGCGCAGAUAUCAGGAGGAACACCGGUGGCGAAGGCGGGGCUCUGGGCAGUAACUGACGCUGAGGAGCGAAAGCGUGGGGAGCGAACAGG
rnacentral:rRNA from 1 species